AUGUCCCCGCCCUCUGCAGUCUGCCUUUACCAGCCCAAAACCAGGGAAGCGGCCUCAGUGUGCAUGACAUUUUCCUGGAGUCAGGCCUGCUCUAAUGCUGAGCCGCAGCUCUUCACUUCUGUAAAUAUGUCAUCCUUUAUUCCUGUUUUUUUUUUUUUUUUAAAUGAAUGGCAUAAGAACAGCACCGUGAGUGCUGUUCUCUUCCUGUGCAAAAUGGACGGACUAGGUCAGGGAUCUGUAAGCAGUGUUCAGGACGCAUCAGCAGAUAUCAGAAAUUUACUUAUUAAAAGUGUUCUUAUCAGACACCCACUUAUGAAGGCAUUUGUCUCAUUUUUACCAUGUUGUCCUUCUCUUUGCACCACCUCAGAUAGCUCAGUCAGUAGAGAAUCCUCCUGCAAUGCAGGAGACACCCAUUGUAUUCCUAGGUCGGGAAGAUCCCCUGGAGAAGGAAACGGCUUUCCACUCCAGGAUUCUGGCCUGGAGAACUCCAAGGACUGUAUAGUCCAAGGGGUCGCAAAAAGUCAGACACCACUGAGCAACUUUCACUUUCACUUCACAGUCUUGUUGAGAUUCUUGGAGUUAGGCGAGUUAGGAGUUAGGAGACCAGCUGGUAUUCUUUCUUCAGUCCGCAUUCUCUUCUGUAUCAAAGCAUCAUCCCUGCCUUCAAGGCUCAGAGAUCUUUCAAGGCAGUCUACCACCUUGCUCAGCCUGGCUUUCCUCCCGCAGAUUCCCAUAUAUCCAUCCACAGCACACACACCUCCUCUCCUCCCAGCAAUUCUUAUAAUUCAGUUCAAUUCAGUUCAGUCAUUCAGUCGUGUCCAACUCUUUGCGACCCCAUGGACUGCAGCAUGCCAGGCCUCCCUGUCCAUCACCAACUCCCAGAGUUUACUCAAACUCAUGUCCAUUGAGUCAGUGAUGCCAUCCAAUCAUCUCAUCCUCUGUCAUCCCCUGCUCCUCCUGCUUUCAAUCUUUCCCAGCAUCAGGGUCUUUCCCAAUGAGUCAACUCUUCGCAUUAGGUGGCCAAAGUAUUGGAUUUUCAGCUUCAGAAUCAGUGCUUCUAAUGAAUCAGUUCAGUUCAGUGGCUCAGUCAUGUCCAACUCUUUGUGA
rnacentral:lncRNA from 1 species